UCCGGUUUGUCACCGGCAGUCUCAUUAGAGUGCCCAACUCAAUGUAGCAACUAAUGACAAGGGUUGCGCUCGUUGCGGGACUUAACCCAACAUCUCACGACACGAGCUGACGACAGCCAUGCAGCACCUGUGUUCCGAUUCCCUUUCGGGCACACCCCCAUCUCUGGAGGCUCUCGGACAUGUCAAGGGUAGGUAAGGUUUUUCGCGUUGCAUCGAAUUAAUCCACAUAAUCCACCGCUUGUGCGGGUCCCCGUCAAUUCCUUUGAGUUUUAACCUUGCGGCCGUAGUCCCCAGGCGGUGAACUUAAUGCGUUAGCUGCGGCACUGAUCGGGUCAAUCCGACCAACACCUAGUUCACAACGUUUAGGGCGUGGACUAC
rnacentral:misc_RNA from 1 species